AGUUCGGAAGUUUAAAACAGUAAGUUGCAAGCUUACAAUUGCGCUAUGCCCGUGCUA
rnacentral:tRNA from 1 species